CAGACCCCCAUACGAACAUUAUUGCAAUUUUCAGUUGAGCGCAUUUUUACCUUUUAAGGUGAUUAUACCAGGAUUUAUUGUAGUGUAGCUCAAUGGAUAGAGUAUCUGACCGGCAAUCAGAAGGUCCGUGGUUCUACUCCCGGCAUAGGAAAGAUGCAAAUUUUUCCUCUUCUUCUUCGCUUCGAAUGAGUGUUGAAAGAGAGAAAAAAUUGGCAUUUACUCCAUACGAUACGUUUCGGAAUUUUCACUGAGUAUUUGCUCGUAGUAUUCGCUCGCCGAAUUGAGCAAAUUAAAGCAAUUGAAUCGUUGCGAUUCUAACAUUGUAGAGUCAAAAAGUAGCAUUAUCUAAAAUACUUGAGUAAUUUAGUAUGACUUUACGGCACUAAUGUUCAUGUGCUAAAAAGGAACAAAAUAAAUCCUGGUAUCAAAAAAAUAUUCAUAUUCCAAAAAGUUCUGCAAAGUAAAGUUGAGCCGAAAUUUAUAUAAAUAAAUUUAUGUGAAACCAUUCCCUGCUCAUAACAUUCAAACGACUAGCGAUCAAAAUCCCAUAUUACUAAUGAAAGAACUAAAUUAUUCUAUCAAUUUCAUUUUAUUUUGCAACUCAAUAUUUUUGGUUAAAUAUUAUAAAGAAUCUUUUUGCGCUUAGCAGAAUGUAGUUUUCAUACAAGAUGAAUGAAAUAAGUGUUUAUUCUAUGCUUUCUAUUCUUUUUAAAUAUGCUAACGUAUAUCUCAACAUCCUCAAACGUUCAAAUUCAACCUAAAUGCAUAUUGGAAAAUAUGAUUUCUUAUAAAAAUGGAAAAAAUCUGCGGGUUGCAUCGUCUGCGAAAUUUCAUCAAAACAUUUCAUGGCUGAUUAGGUACAUGAAAGGCAGACAGCAAGGAUGCGCACUCGUUCAGAAUGGUUUCUAGGUUGUGGAGGUUCACUAAAUUCGGAAAUGAACCUUUGUGUAUCCAACAUAGAAUCUAGUACUGGCGAUAAUAGUAGGGGUAAUUAUUCAACAAAUACUUUAUGUGCUCGAAAUGAUAGUGGCAGCUUAAGUUUGUACAUGUUAAUUUAAUAUUACACAUACAUAUACACUACUUACUCGAAAAUAUGGAUACCCCAUGUGAAAAAUUUGUGACUGACUAGCCAGCCGCUUAAUUUCGGACUUUUUGGCUGACUAUUACUGACUAAAAGUUAUUAUCUCAAACAAAAUAUUCGAAUGUAGUCAUCUAGUAGCCAAAAAGUCCGAAAUUAGACGACUGGCUGAAAGAAUAACAAAAAGAUAGUAUUUUUAUACGACAUUUUUGAAUUCAAUCAACUUAGCCAGUUGCAGCUACAUACAACUGAGUGACUGUUGGUCACUUUUUUGUACCCGUAUGAAACAUAUUAUUCCUACGUUUAUCGAUUCAAAUUCGUUACAGUGUCUUAAAACUUAUUGCAUUCUUCUGAAACUCAAUGAUUUUGAAUACUGGAUUCGGAUUAUUGAGUUAUUACAUAGAAACAUCCAUGGCUAUCCAUGUUUCGGGAUUUUGUGAAUGUUUCCAUUUGUUCAUAUAAUUUAGUUGCUUUUGACGUCUUAUCAAUUUUUAUUUAUUCUACUGAUCAUUUUAUAAUUAUUCUACUCUAUUGUAAAUUCAGUGUACUAAACGAUAAAAUAGUAUUACUGAACCACAUAAGUUCUUUGUUUUGAUUUAAUCCUAUUAUGUAAAAAUGCAUGAAAUUGAAUUCUAGAAGAAAAAUAUUCGUCUGACAAGUACAAAACUGGCUAAAUGUUCGCGGCAAAAGGAUCUCAAGCUAAAAAAUAGCAAUUUUUGUAUACAUAUCCGAUGCCGUCGACGUUUAGAAGUUUUUUGCUAAAGGUCCAAAACCGCCAGACGUUUAGCCAGUUCCUGCCGGUGGGCGCUCGCUUUGUAUGGAUACAAUGUAAUUUUUCAUUGACGUUUGCAACAAGACGCCACCUAUUCAGAAAAGUCGCCGCUCUAUGGAAUUAGCGGCAAUAAACAAAUGGCUCACAUACGCUCACAACAAUGAACUUCACAGAGCGGCGAAAAAUGCAUAGAAAUGCGGCGAAUGGGUCGAAUUUUUAAUGAAAAAUAAAUAUUUUCAUAUACAGUGCGAGAAAUAGUUAUGGUCGCCUUGAGUUUUCAAAUUAUUUUCCAGCAGGAAUAAAUGUUUUUCGUCUAAAAAAUUACAAAAAUCUUCUAAAAGGUGUGCGUAAUUUGUUGGAUGAAAAUCGUCUGAAGAACUGAUAAAAGCACCAAAAAAUGCACAGAUUUGUGUGUGUCUGAAAAUCAUCUGAGAUAAUGACGAAAUUGUCAAGAAGAAUUUGAAAAUCGUCUGAAGAAAUGUAAAAAUUCUGUAAACACAGAAUUGUUUUAAAAAAGCACCAUGAAAAAUAUCAAAACAAAUCACAAGCAUGUCAAUAUAUUGCAUUUUUUGCAAAAUACUGAAGGUGCGGCUAUAAUUAUUUCGCGUGCCGAAAAUCGAAAAAAUAUGAAAAGAUUUAAAAAAUACAUUUUGCAAAAAUCUCCCUGAAGUGUUUUUAACCCUCGUACACGCACCUAUUUUAAAACCUUCGAACGUGCACCUCGGGUCUGGCUGGACCCCUAUAUAUUUGUAUGCAUUUGUAUGGGAAUAAGUGAUGUAUGCCAUCUCAUUUUCCACGGAACUGA